rnacentral:rRNA from 1 species
AGGAUAAACGCUGGCGGCGUGCCUAACACAUGCAAGUCGAACGCGCUUUCGGGCUUCGGUGCGAGAGCGAGUGGCGGACGGGUGAGUAACACAUGGGUACCUACCUUGGAGUGAGGGAUACCGGCGAGAAAUCGCCGACAAUACCGCAUAGGCUUCUUCACAAGGGAAGCAAAGUGACGCGAGUCACGCUUUGAGAUGGGCCUGUGGCCGAUUAGCUAGUUGGGGGGGUAACGGCUUCCCAAGGCGACGAUCGGUAGCUGGUCUGAGAGGACGAUCAGCCACACUGGGAUUGAGAACGGCCCAGACUCCUACGGGGGCAGCAGUGAGGAAUUUUCCGCAAUGGAGGCAACUCUGACGGAGCAACGCCGCGUGCAGGAGGAAGGUUUUCGGAUCGUAAACUGCUUUUCGUCGGGGACGAGCGAAGGACGGUACCCGAGGAAGAACGCCCCGGCUAACUACGUGCCAGCAGCCGC